rfam:Schistosoma mansoni strain Puerto Rico chromosome 4, complete genome
AUCAAGCUGACGAGUCCCACGUAGGAUGAAACGCGCUUCCUGGAU